CCUACGGGAGGCAGCAGUAAGGAAUAUUGGACAAUGCUCGCAAGAGUGAUCCAGCCAUGCCGCGUGCAGGAAGAAUGCCCUAUGGGUAGUAAACUGCUUUUGAACUAGAGAAAACCCCAGUACGUGUACUGGGCUGAUAGUAUAGUUAGAAUAAGCAUCGGCUAACUUCGUGCCAGCAGCCGCGGUAAGACGAAGGAUGCAAGCGUUAUCCGGAUUCAUUGGGUUUAAAGGGAGCGUAGGUGGACUGAUAAGUCAGUGGUGAAAUCUCCGAGCUUAACUCGGAAAUUGCCAUUGAUACUGUUGGUCUUGAGUACAGUUGCUGUGGGCGGAAUAUGACAUGUAGUGGUGAAAUACAUAGAGAUGUCAUAGAACACCGAUUGCGAAGGCAGCUCACAAAGCUGUAACUGACACUGAGGCUCGAAAGUGCGGGGAUCAAACAGGAUUAGAUACCCUGGUAGUCCGCACCGUAAACGAUGAUUACUCGCUGCGAGGGCGACCGUUACGUUGGUGUUAGCGAAGAACGAGUAAGUUAAGUUACGUACCGUUAGGGUUAGGUACGGCCGGCCGGACGGUACGGAACGUUACGAAGGAAGUUAGACGGACGGNGAGACGNGCGACGGACGACGACGAGGGAGGUAGG
rnacentral:rRNA from 1 species